UUUGUUUGGAGCCUGCCUUCUCCAAGUGUGGCCCUAAUCAGCAGGAGGGGCACCUUCUAGGGGCUUCUCUAGGGUAGCGUGUUGGCCGCACCCCAAAGCUACCAAGUCAGACUUUGCAGUUUGGCAAGAUCCCAGGUGAUGCACACGGACGUCCGAGUCUGAGAAGCGCUGGCUUGGAGUGUGGUGCACCCACCCAAUAGAGUUUACCUUCUGCCUCACUAACACCCCAGGAGCAAGGUGAAGGUUUUUCCAUGAGCCUGACAUGGCAUUUUGAAACUCUAUUAACAAUUAGGAGUCACAUAUAAGAAAACCUAAUAUUUAAGUCUAUCAACGAAUCAGAAGAAUUGUUUCCGUUUUGAUUUAGCAGGAAUGCCAUCUUGCUCCCAAACCCUCAACUGGAAGCAAAGAACGGUUUCCUCUCAGGUUAAUGGGUUUCCCCUCGUCAAGCUGUCCUUCGAUCACGUCAUCUAGACUUGCCUCCACCUAUUUAUUUCUUUUUAUAACUGUUCUUCUUUUUAAUAGGGUUAUUCGCCCUUCCGAUAUUAACAGCAAUUAGACUCACCUCACGGUGCGUCAUGUCGACUCAAUCUGCGACCGUCAGAGGAGGAUGAUCUUAGUCUUGUCUCGGUAACAAACCUUGACAACCCAAACAAAGCAGCAGGUGAAAGACAGGAGGAGGAUUUGCAACACAGGAUCGCAGGCGGCAAGAACGUCGCGAACGUGACGGCUGCGCUGCCUGCUCGGGCCACGUGGAAAUGGUGGCAUUCACGCUGCCGGCACUGAUGACACGGUGCAUGGUCUGAAAUUGCAUUUUUUCAGCCAAGUUUUUAGAGAAGACUCUUUAAAAGCCUCGGAAACAUUAACAUUCUCUUUCCAAUUCUAAUCUAUUUAAUUUUAUUGGAAAACAUUUACAUAGCUCAUCAGCCGACUCUCUAGUAUUGAGUAAUAUUUAGCAUGCUGUAAUCAUGAGGAGAGAUUUAGAUUAAAUGCUGUUUUUUAUUACUAUUCAAUCACCAUAAGUUGUUCCACUUUUUAUCUUUUUAGUCAACAGAUUUCAAAGGUGGGAAAAUAUCUUCAUUUACAGAUACACCUAUAUUUAUCUCCUAUUAUAUUUUCCAUUAGUGUCUGUGUGAGAUUUAUUCCUGGUGAUUCCCAACAAAGUAAAUGUGCAUCUCCUAACACCAGAUGCUAAUAAUAAAGACAAAUGCCCCCUAUCUCUUAGAGAUGUUACAAGAAUAAAUUAGAUAAUAUUUACAGGGGGAUUUGACCUCACUGGAGAUAGUAUAUAAAUGACAUGUGAAAAACAAACCUUUGAAGAACAAAAAAUUCCAUUCCGUUGCAGCCAGAUUGAGUUGACAGGAAUCAAAUUAUGUUCCGAGCAGAGGAAACAGGCCUGCUAACAGCGGUUCCCCUCGCUGUGGACGCACGCCAGGCACUCACAAUGAACCCCAGGUCUGGCCUGCACCUUCGGGCGUCGGUUUGGGCAUGUGCACAACCAGCUUGUCAUCCCUUCCCAUGUGUCUACGUUUAUUACGGUUGGAAUAUGCUGGGGCAAACUAUCAAAGUUACUUUAAACCUCUUUCUACAUUUAAUAACCUAUAAGGACUGUUAAUAAAGCAAGCAGACAUUUUGACAUAGGUGACACAUGGACACAUCCAGACAAACUCUUUUCACAUUAUACUAUCUAGAACCGAAAAGGAGCUUCCCACAGGACAAUGGACAAGGAGAGAGUCCUGGUGGUCACACAGGGGAAGUCCAAGUCCUCACUUUGAGGUGGAAACUCAUUUUUUGAUGGGAUCAUUCGUGGGGCACAGGGAAGUCACCCAACCCCACCCGUUUUCUAAAAGUCCAGCUACAUUGGCCCCAGAUUCUACCAUUUGAAAUUCUUCUUGAGUUAAGAGAAAUAGCUGCAUGUUCAUGGAAAAAGGUAAAAUUAAAAACCGUAGGAUGAUGAGGACAUUCAACAAUGUAAUGAACCAACCCUGCAGACCUACUCUGCGCCAGGCACUAUCCUAAGUGUUUUUUACCAGAACUGUCUCAUUGAAUUUCCAGUUCAACCCUAUGACACAGGCACUAUUCUCAUUCCAAUGUUGACAGACGUGCGAACAGGCACAGAGAGGUUAAAAAGCCUGUCCAAGGUUGCACAGGCUACAGGUGGCAUCUCUAGGCCUUCACCUUGGCCCUCUGACUGCAGAGUCUGUGCUCAGAACCAACAGGUCUUCCGACCAGUGAGAGAGUUAGCCCCAUGCAAUAUACUCCUGUGUGAAAACGAGACAAACGAUACUUUACAAACUUGGAUACAAAGAACAAUGUGAAAAAGCUUUAGAUUGUGUUUGGUCAAUGGUUGGAUUUUUCUAGAACAGCCAAGGUUCCCAAGUGAGGCAGCCUCCACCGUUCCAUUUCACAGGACGCGUCCACAGUGACAUUCAAGUACAAUCUUACCGUGCCGAAAGCGCUCGCCAGGAAUGGGGCCCUGGGAACUAUGCCGAAAGCACAGUUCUCUCGCGGAGCUGACAGCAAAUAUUUGGCUGGAGAUGAGAAAUGGGACGUGGGAAUGAAUUUGGAGAUGGAAAUAUCAGAGGAGCUUGGAUGAUACACUGAAAGUAAUGGACAUCUAUCACAUUACUACCAUGGAUCACUUCUGUAGUAAGAGGCUACUGUGGCUCUUAGAACGUAGAAUAGCUUCCUGAUCUAUGCAAUGUUUGAAAUAAGAGCUUUAAAAUUGUUCUCUAAUGCCAGAAACGUAUGCCAUCCGUGUUUUUCAUUUCAUUGUAUCCCAUAAAACAUGCGGUUUUCAGAAAGAGAUGAACUGAUAUCCCAGCUUCGCUGCUUCUAACAGAACACUGUAAUAAGGUUAAGUACACACCUUUCCAUAGCAACAGACGCUGUAGACAGACAUGAACCCUAUACGUCUCCCUUGAAGAAAGCUUUAGGAUGAUAACAGACAAAUUCGAAAUAAAGCCUAUGAUCCCCACACCCUGAAGCCUGCUUCCCCGAAGAACUCAAGAAAGGAUACAUUGACAAACAGCUCACCGUGGCUUCCCAUAGCUCAUUUCUUUGCCUUCUUUUUUUUUUUGCUUUAAAUGGCACUUCAGCCUUAAUAGUUACAGAGGUUUCAAGAGAGAGGACUAGCGCCACCUGAAAA